UCUAGCAAAGGAUAAUUGUAUUGGUUUUGUUUUGACCUUCACUUGUCCAGUGGCCUUUAUUAAAGGGAGACAAGGUUGUUAGUGCUGUUUGCGGAGGGGAAUCCGCGUCUUAUAGGCAUGCUGCAACGCCAUGACGCAAUUCACACUCUCCUGCUGCAACACAAUAAAAUAUGUAUCACCAGAGUGCCGACGAUGGGAUGCUUCUUUGGGAGUAAAUAUCAGUUAAAUAGUGAAGAGGGGAGGGGGGUGUGGCAUUGACCAUCACCCAUUCACCAAAACAAUACACGCCCAGAGCUCGUGCAUUCGUAGCGUAAAAAGCCGCGCCGGGGAUCAGGUUUGGUCACUGUCAAAUCUGCUCUUGGACUCUCGCUGGGUGAACAGGCCAGUCAGCCCGUCGGCAGCCCGCCGUGCUCCUUCCCUCCGCAGGCUCCGGGCUGCACGCAGGGAUCCUCAUCGCAUUACGCAGAUUCGAAGCCUGGAUGCAGAGCGAACCAAAACCAAUGGCCUGCACAUGAAGAUGCGAUAACUACGAUACGAUUUAAGGCAUGUUAGCGCCAUGAGUGCAGGUUGUGUUGAAAUAGAUUGAAUGCCUUUAAAAUCUCAAGUGAAUCCCACUUCAAAAGCGUGUCUCUGGAAGGUCGUCUGCAGCCUCUACAGAUCCCCCGUGGCUCUUCAUCUUCCUUCUUUUUGUUGCUCUCUUUUCUGCCUCUCCCUUUUCUUGUGUUUAUUCGAUCUGCUGUGCCCCUAGCACAGCUAUGGCAGAAGCAACACACACAAUAAACCCAUUGUAGCACAGCCAAGUGAAAGGCUGGUUGGGAAAGUCAAACGCUCUGUUAUUCCAUCCCAGCAAAUACAAUCUCUGGAGAUGCAGUGCCAACUGGAGAGCCCCCAAGGGGCGUCAAGGUAUUCUCAGAAAUGCAGACAAUCACACAAGCUAACUGCUCUGUUGUUUCCCCCCAGUCCCUUCUCCUUCCAUUA